CCUACGGGGGGCAGCAGUGGGGAAUAUUGGACAAUGGGGGCAACCCUGAUCCAGCCAUGCCGCGUGUGUGAAGAAGGCCCUCGGGGUGUAAAGCACUUUCAGUGAGGAAGAACGCCUGGUGGUUAAUACCCAUCAGGAAAGACAUCACUCACAGAAGAAGCACCGGCUAACUCCGUGCCAGCAGCCGCGGUAAUACGGAGGGUGCGAGCGUUAAUCGGAAUUACUGGGCGUAAAGCGCGCGUAGGUGGCUUGAUAAGCCGGUUGUGAAAGCCCCGGGCGCAACCUGGGAACGGCAUCCGGAACUGUCAAGCUAGUGUGCAGGAGAGGAAGGUAGAAUUCCCGGUGUAGCGGUGAAAUGCGUAGAGAUCGGGAGGAAUACCAGUGGCGAAGGCGGCCUUCUGGACUGACAAUGCCACUGAGGUGCGAAAGCGUGGGUAGCAAACAGGAUUAGAUACCCUUGUAGUC
rnacentral:rRNA from 1 species